AGUAGCACUUAUAUCGUAUUAAGGGGCUAAAUAAAACAGGACUGAAGUUUCAGAGGGGGAUGGCUCUGAGAUGGGAAGCCUGAGCCGCUGCAGCAGGUCAGCCCCACCCUCCGGACGUGACACUGUGGGGGCACUCGUCCAGGGCUGUGCAGAUCAGGAGCCACAGACUGUCUUAACACAAACGGUCAAGGUUAACUCAGCUUCCUGUACUUUAGCUGGCAACACUGUCUGAGACCUGUUCGGCUGGGAGGCUGGGGAAGGCCUCCAUGAAAAUCCACUAUGGACAGAAUGCCAGGAGUCAAUACUACAAAUGCUCUCAAGCAGACUGCAGAGAAAGGCGUGAAGUCACGCCGACAAAUGGCGUGUACCAGAAACCCUGGAAGGCAGGUUUGGCAGGGCCAAAGGUCAGGUGAAGGAACUGAUUGACCAACUCAUAAUUUCAUCUGUUUUACAUUAUAUUCAUGCCAGUAAAGUAAAGCAACGAUGAGCACUAGGCUUAUGCAACUGCUGCAUUUCAAAAUCCGUCUCUUGCUGGGAUUUCAUUUCACCUGCUUAGAGAACUACAUACUGAGCAUUCCACAGAAGAUAAGAAAACACACUGGGAGAUUACUCUCAAGCCAUUUAAAGGAAAGGUACCAACUUCAUGUGAAGUAGAAAAUUCCCACACAUCUUAAAGCAAGUGGAACUCAUUUGCCUGUCAGAUUGACUUAGAAUAUCAUUAGCCAACGGAUCUGUGGAUGAAGAGCUCCUUAAACCCCAUCACGGGAUAUUCCUCCCUGGUCUUGACGGUGUGCACAUGAAAUGCAUUAUGCAAGAGGCAUGCACAUUUCAGAGGCAAGUCUAGCCUGCUAUGUUUUGGUAGCGUCAUCAUUACUGAUGUUUUCUCAAGCACUUUCAGUAAAUGCUUGUCAAAUGACUGGUUUAGCUGGCACUUCGUCAUUAUUUUAAAAUCAUCUGUGAUGGCGAUAAUACAAAGUACUUAUGAACUA